AGGUCUUGGCAGCUACCAAUCUGCUAUUUCUAUAGAUUUACCUAUUCUGGGUAUUUCAUGUGAGAAAUCGGAGACAAAGAGCUGAAGUAGCAGGCUAGUGUCACAGUGGGUAAACGGCAAGAUCCUGACUAGACCCCUUCUCUUUCCAUCCACCCCACAUCAGAGUUCAACCAGCUAUUCACACUAACCCAGUCACAACUCACUACAAUGACUGUAAGAUAUCACUACAAAUUAAAUUUUGAAGAGAGGUUCUCACAUUCAGGACAAGAAAAGGCUCAAGUUACAAACUGGUUUAGCUCUAAAUACAUGUUUAUAACUUAGUCUCUGUAAUUCAUAAAGCAUUUUCCCAAAUAAAAACCUAUACAAAUGGUUAAAUAAUUUCCUGGAGGGAUACCACAAAUUAGGUUAAGAGAUGGGGGUUUACUGGGAAGAAUCAAGAAACCAGAAAUAAAAAUAAGCUACAAAAAGUA